rnacentral:rRNA from 1 species
UACAGAGGUCCCAAGCGUUUGUUCGGAUUCACUGGGCGUAAAGGGUGCGUAGGUGGUGGGGUAAGUCUCGUGUGAAAGCUCGCAGCUUAACUGCGAAAAGUCACGGGAUACUAUUCCGCUGGAGGCUUGGAGGGGGGACUGGAAUACUUGGUGUAGCAGUGAAAUGCGUAGAUAUCAAGUGGAACACCAGUGGCGAAGGCGGCCUUCUGGACGAUGACUGACGCUGAGACGCGAAAGCGUGGGGAGCAAACAGG